GCGGGCAUAGCUCAGGGGUAGAGCACGUGCCUGGCAUGCAUGAGGUCCUGGGUUCAGUCCCCAGCACCGCCA
rnacentral:tRNA from 1 species